rnacentral:lncRNA from 1 species
GGUUGGUUGGUUGGUAGCACUAUACUGGGGUUGGUUGGUUGGUAGCACUAUACUGUAUAUGUAUAUGACAGUGCUCCAAGCUAUUACCACUAGCUAGUACACUACCAAACAAACACAUAAUCUUGAAGAGGAAGGAAGGAAAUGGGAGAUACUAUUCAUAUUCCUCGAGUCAAGCUUGGAAGCCAAGGAUUAGAAGUAAGUAACGUUUGUUUGUUCUUUGAAUUUGAAAUCUUGUUCAUGCGAUAUAUAUAUAUAUAUAUAUAUAUAUAUAUAUAUAUAU